AAUGAGAGAAGGUUUCCAAUUAGAUACAGUCUAACACUGGCCCUGCUUCUCAGUCACCUUCAAUUGUCAGCGAUAAAAAAGGACAGUUCAAUAUGAUAUGGAUCAUUCACUCCAAAUCUCCACAACUCAUUUAUGACAAACACAACUAACAGAGCAUGGGGAACUGCAGGAUAGUUUUUCAUUAUCCUGGCACAUUGGCUUCCGACUACAGCUGUAAUGAUCUUCAGUGGUUUUCCAUAUAGCACGCUGUUAAUGAAUAGUUUAAGAUGUGAUGGCAACCAGAAUUCUGACUGAAAGUCUUAGUAAUCCUUUUGUUUGGGGAAGAACAAAUGGAUCUUCAGAAGAAAAAAAAAUGAUUUAAAGGGAAAAAGUGUUUCGUUUUCAUGAGUGACCUGGGUUCCUAUGGGAGACAGGGUAGCAUCCCAGCAGUAUUUGGAGAAGAAGAAGGUGGAGGGACCAGCUCUGGUGCAUUAACCCACUGAGAACCCUGGAGGUGCCCACGUACCCAAAUCAUGUUGUCUAAAAUAAUGGGAUAUGCUAGGGUUUUAUGAAGGCUAGUGCCAGAGUCUACAUAAUUCCAUUAUGGUAAGUAGGACCUAACCAUUAAGAUUUCUGGGAAAUAUUUCCACUUAAAGACAGUUGUGUGUCAAUAUUCCAGGUGGUCUGGUCAGAAUCCCUCCAGUGGAUGGGGAUAUGGAGCCAGAGAGCAGAUCCUCAAGAUCUGGAGAUACAAAGAGGAGGAUGGUUGAGCCUCAGCUAACCAAGCAGUCUGAGGUUCAUUCGUUCAUUUAUUCACUUAACAAACAUCUAUUGAAGACCCACUUUGUGCCAGAUAUGGUGCUUCAUAGUUACAGAUGAUGACGCUAAGAAAAUAAUGAUGAUGAAAUCAUUUGGAAGUUGCAGGCAAGGAUGGAAAACUUAUUUGGAUUCAAAACAAAAGUGUCAUUUAGAAUUGGAAAGCAACUAUGUAUGCAUACAGGCUAAUGCAUUUUGGAAGCAAGAAACUGAAAAUGCCAAAAUAUCACCAUCUCUUCAGAGUUAUGUUGAACUCAAAGAAGAUGAUUGUUAUUUCCAAAUGGCACCACCGCCCACAAUUACUUUGGCAGGAAGUAUAAGAUCCCACUGGAGGCAGUGGACUUCACCUCCCACCAGGAAAAUCUGGAGACUCUCUCUCUACCUUGAUCUCUGUUCUGGAAGGCUGAGAAGCAGGGUCAAUAUCAACAGGCUCCUUUGCCCUUUGCCUGGCUAGACUACUCCAUCACAUCACAGCUCCCGGCAGACGGCCCUCUCUACACGGCUUUCUUUCACCUGGUCUAGCCUUGAGAGCAACAAGGAAGGUCUGUGUGGCCAAGUCUGCAAUCAAGAAAUGGCUGCUGGAAGAGGCAUCUCUGACCCAACCCAGGAAGGCCAUCACUGCCUCCAAAGAGUACCAUCGUGCAAAUUAGCAAAAUCCCCUUGUGUUUUGCAGCACUGGGCAUUGUUAUCAUUUUGGAGGAGGGCCAUGAUGAAACUACAUACUUUUUUGUUUGCGUAUCAUGUAACUAGUUAGAUUUAAAAUUUUUAUUUUAUACCAAAUUGUGGAAUUAUUUUCAAUCAUUGUUGGAAUUGAAAUAUUCAUGCAACCUCUUCAUAGAGCUAGUCACUUCAGAUGUGGAACACAGAGAGAGG
ensembl:lncRNA